rnacentral:rRNA from 1 species
UGGGGAAUAUUGGACAAUGGGCGCAAGCCUGAUCCAGCGACGCCGCGUGUGUGAAGAAGGCCUGCGGGUUGUAAAACUCUUUUGGCGGGGACGAUAAUGACGGUACCCGCAGAAUAAGCCCCGGCUAACUUCGUGCCAGCAGCCGCGGUAAUACGAAGGGGGCUAGCGUUGUUCGGAAUCACUGGGCGUAAAGCGCACGUAGGCGGAUGUGCCAGUCAGGGGUGAAAUCCCGGAGCUCAACUCCGGAACUGCCUCUGAUACAGCACGUCUUGAGUUCGAGAGAGGUGGGUGGAAUUCCUAGUGUAGAGGUGAAAUUCGUAGAUAUUAGGAAGAACACCGGUGGCGAAGGCGGCCCACUGGCUCGAUACUGACGCUGAGGUGCGAAAGCGUGGGGAGCAAACAGGAUUAGAUACCCCAGUAGUCCCUGAGCGGGCUGGCAAGGCGCAU